rnacentral:lncRNA from 1 species
AUGUUAAUUGUAGCUUUACAAAGGGAUCCCAGAAGCUGCAACAAGUCCAUGGAUGGCUUGGUGCUCUGUCAGGCUCCUUGGCUCUCCAUCACCUUCCCAGAGAGCUCCCUCACCAAUAUACAAGCAUGGCAAAUAUUGGUGUUGCAGCCACAGGCAGAAGAAACCUUACAGCACUUCACAAACCCAGUGGGGCUGUCCAACAGCAGCACAGCAUGCAGCCAACAGAGCCACGGCCACGUGCUCAGCUGCACCAGCACAGCUGGGCUUCUGGGCACCAUGGGACAGCAGCACCCCUGCUUCACCUGCACAGGAAUCCCAGCUCCACCAUGCAGCAGGAUCCACCUGUACUGUGCUUUGUAUGUUGUUACUGACCACACAAAUUAGAUCCAAUUUCAUGUGCUCCAUCUGAAACAUUUAUUAUUAUUAUUUGUAACUGAGCAGAUAAUGCUUAAAAACAUUUGUUUCUCUGUGUGGACAACCCUGCUCCAAGAAGUUGCUGCAGGAGCAAAUACAGGAGCAUGAUAAGCAAAAUCUCUCUCUUUAAAUACAUUUUAAUUCUCAAAAAAGAGAUGCAGUAGCCCAGAGUCUUUGCUCUUUCAGUUGGAAUCUUUCUCUUAUGUGAAAGGUAAGAAACCAUGCUGCCCAUACAAUAAUACAAGUGUUACAGAACAAGCCAUGGUUAUUCAGCGGUGGGAAGCUUUGGUUUUGCUUUAAAUGAAGCAUGCUGUAAGAAGCAUGCACUCCUGUUUCCAAUUAAGCUCCUUGUUAGGUCAUGGAGCCCAGAACUCACAGCACACCGCAGGGGAGGCUGCACCAACACCUCUGCAGAGUGGCUGGUCAUGCCAUGCUUAAUGCCUUCUAACACGCAUGCUGCCCUCUUGGUCUUUCAGCCAAUGCUACCUGAGUGCUGCACAGAAAAAUCUCACUGCCCACACUGUGAAACAGCCAGGUACACUAACCUUAAUUUCUUGCUCUAUUUUAGGCCUCACAGUAUUACAUGGUAUUACUCUUGCUUCCCUUAAAAUAGUCUGUGAUACAUUAAGUGUUCUGCUAGAGCCUGCUGCUUUGUUCACACGAGGAGAAUUUGGGUGACUGCUUUUUACUAAUGAGGGAGGAGCAAAAACCCCUUCAGAUACCUUGUGGCUGUGUGUUAACAAACUCAGGCCCACUGAAAAUGCACAUCCAGCGUCCAGGUGGUACGUAGUCAGAACAUGGAGAAAACCACUCAAGAUCUAGCAAAAAUUCAACAGGGCCAACCACUUGGGUUCCCAAGGCAAAGGAGCCCAGGGGGAGGCUCCACUCCCAUCCCAUGCCCUCCCCUGUUCAUACAGCAGCGCUAACAGCACACACAGAUGGUCUUCAAUAAAGACAAAUACAUAAGUUAAUGCA